UCYGGUUGAUCCUGCCRGACCCGACUGCUAUCAGAGUAGGACUAAGCCAUGCGAGUCAACGCCGCAAGGCGUGGCAUACGGCUCAGUAACACGUAGUCAACAUGCCCAAAGGACGUGGAUAACCUCGGGAAACUGAGGAUAAACCGCGAUAGGCCAAGGUUUCUGGAAUGAUCCCUGGCCGAAAUCUAUAUGGCCUUUGGAUUGGACUGCGGCCGAUCAGGCUGUUGGUGAGGUAAUGGCCCACCAAACCUGUAACCGGUACGGGCUUUGAGAGAAGGAGCCCGGAGAUGGGCACUGAGACAAGGGCCCAGGCCCUAUGGGGCGCAGCAGGCGCGAAACCUCUGCAAUAGGCGAAAGCCUGACAGGGUUACUCUGAGUGAUGCCCGCUAAGGGUAUCUUUUGGCACCUCUAAAAAUGGUGCAGAAUAAGGGGUGGGCAAGUCUGGUGUCAGCCGCCGCGGUAAUACCAGCACCCCGAGUUGUCGGGACGAUUAUUGGGCCUAAAGCAUCCGUAGCCUGUUCUGCAAGUCCUCCGUUAAAUCCACCUGCUCAACGGAUGGGCCGCGGAGGAUACCGCAGAGCUAGGAGGCGGGAGAGGCAAACGGUACUCAGUGGGUAGGGGUAAAAUCCAUUGAUCUACUGAAGACCACCAGUGGCGAAGGCGGUUUGCCAGAACGCGCUCGACGGUGAGGGAUGAAAGCUGGGGGAGCAAGCCGGAUUAGAUACCCGGGUAGUCCCAGCUGUAAACGAUGCAGACUCGGUGGGAUGGGUUGGCCUCGAGCCAACCCAGUGCCGCAGGGAAAGCCGUUAAGUCUGCCGCCUGGGGAGUACGGUCGCAAGACUGAAACUUAAAGGGAAUUGGCGGGGGAGCACCACAAGGGGUGAAGCCUGCGGUUCAAUUGGABUCAACGCCGGR
rnacentral:rRNA from 1 species